GAAAUGCGAUAAGUAAUGUGAAUUGCAGAAUUCAGUGAAUCAUCGAAUCUUUGAACGCAACUUGCGCUCCUUGGUAUUCCUUGGAGCAUGCCUGUUUGAGUAUCAUGAAAUCUUCAAAGUAAAUCUUUUGUUAACUCAAUUGGUUUCUACUUUGGUAUUGGAGGUCUUUGCAGCUUCACACCUGCUCCUCUUUGUUCAUUAGCUGGAUCUCAGUGUUAUGCUUGGUUCCACUCGGCGUGAUAAGUUAUCUAUCGCUGAGGACACUGUAAAAGGUGGCCAAGGUAAAUGCAGAUGAACCGCUUCUAAUAGUCCAUUGACUUGGACAAUACUUUUAUGAUCUGAUCUCAAAUCAGGUAGGACUACCCGCUUAACUUAAGC
rnacentral:misc_RNA from 1 species